GUACCUUCAAGCUCUGCUUGGUGUUGGGUGUUUGUCUCCUGUAGACUCGCCUCAAAACAAUUGGCAGCCGGCGUAUUGAUUUCGGAGCGCAGUACAUCUCGCGCUUUGCACUCAUAACGACGACAUCCAAAAGUACAUUUUUACAC
rnacentral:misc_RNA from 2 species